CACGUAGGGGGCAAGCGUUGUCCGGAAUUACUGGGCGUAAAGAGCUCGUAGGCGGUUCGGUAAGUCAGAUGUGAAAACCCAAGGCUCAACCUUGGGACGCCAUUUGAUACUGCUGUGACUGGAGUCCGGUAGAGGAGCGUGGAAUUCCUGGUGUAGCGGUGAAAUGCGCAGAUAUCAGGAGGAACACCAACGGCGAAGGCAGCGCUCUGGGCCGGUACUGACGCUGAGGAGCGAAAGCAUGGGGAGCAAACAGG
rnacentral:misc_RNA from 1 species